rnacentral:lncRNA from 1 species
GGAUAAACCAGGAAGAGGCACUGAAGCUAAGUAGAAGUUGAAUAAAUUCGUCUCAGCCUCACAGAAGUUAUAGAGCCAAGAUUUAAGCCCUUCUUAAUCAGCCUUCCCAGGAACCAACGGAUGUCUCCGAGUUUUCUAUUUGAUGCCACCCACCGGACCUGCUUUGGGGGUCUGUAAAUGCAAGAGAGCCAUUGGAAAAUUAGCGAUGGAAGAAAAAGCCUCUAAGAG